UCCUACGGGGGGCAGCAGUGGGGGAUAUUGCACAAUGGGGGGAACCCUGAUGCAGCGACGCCGCGUGAGUGAAGAAGUAUUUCGGUAUGUAAAGCUCUAUCAGCAGGGAAGAAGAAAGACGGUACCUGAGUAAGAAGCCCCGGCUAACUACGUGCCAGCAGCCGCGGUAAUACGUAGGGGGCAAGCGUUAUCCGGAUUUACUGGGUGUAAAGGGAGCGUAGACGGUAUGGCAAGUCUGAAGUGAAAACCCGGGGCUCAACUCCGGGAGUGCAUUUGAAACUGUCCAGCUAGAGUGCAGGAGAGGG
rnacentral:rRNA from 1 species